UACGUAGGGAGCGAGCGUUGUCCGGAAUUACUGGGCGUAAAGGGCGCGUAGGCGGUAGAUCAAGUCGCAUGUGAAAUACCCGGGCUCAACCUGGGGGGUGCAUGCGAAACUGGAAUACUUGAGUGCGGUAGAGGAAAGUGGAAUUCCUAGUGUAGCGGUGAAAUGCGUAGAUAUUAGGAGGAACACCAGUGGCGAAGGCGACUUUCUGGGCCGUAACUGACGCUGAGGCGCGAAAGCGUGGGGAGCAAACAGG
rnacentral:rRNA from 1 species